UACGCGAUGCCGAAAGCGGGUCGCGUAAACCAAUCUCGCUGAAAUCAGGAGGAUGAAAUUAUGAGC
rfam:Pseudomonas sp. Lz4W Contig39, whole genome shotgun sequence.